rnacentral:rRNA from 1 species
AGGACGAACGCUGGCGGCGUGCUUAACACAUGCAAGUCGAGCGGUAAGGCCCUUUCGGGGGUACACGAGCGGCGAACGGGUGAGUAACACGUGGGUGACCUGCCCUUAGCUCUGGGAUAAGCCUGGGAAACUGGGUCUAAUACCGGAUAUGACCUCGCGAUGCAUGUCGUGGGGUGGAAAGCCUUGUGCGGCUAGGGAUGGGCCCGCGGCCUAUCAGCUUGUUGGUGGGGUGAUGGCCUACCAAGGCGACGACGGGUAGCCGGCCUGAGAGGGCGACCGGCCACACUGGGACUGAGACACGGCCCAGACUCCUACGGGAGGCAGCAGUGGGGAAUCUUGCGCAAUGGGCGAAAGCCUGACGCAGCGACGCCGCGUGAGGGAUGACGGCCUUCGGGUUGUAACCUCUUUCAGCCCUGACGAAGCGAAAGUGACGGUAGGGCGAGAAGAAGCACCGGCCAACUACGCGCCAGCAGCCGCGGUAA